AGGUCUCUCCUCCCUGUGAGGAGGAGUCAAUGCAAAGCUCAGAUGUCUUCCACCUCUACUUAUCUGACUGCAGAGAGGACGACAGAGAACAGUGGACACACAGUUUAACAUGAUGGACUAUAGGACAGGACUGCUGCUUUUAACUCUCUGCUGGACAGGUGUUGAUGGUCAGACUCUGACAGAAUCUGAACCAGUGGUUAAAAGGCCUGGAGAAUCUCACAGAUUGACCUGUACAGCCUCUGGAUUCACAUUCAGCAGCUACUGGAUGGCCUGGAUCAGACAGGCUCCUGGAAAAGGACUGGAGUGGAUCGCUUAUAUCAGUAGUGGUAGUGGUAGCAGCACCUCCUACUCUCAGUCAGUCCAAGGCCGGUUUACCAUCUCCAGAGACAACAGCAGACAGCAGCUGUAUCUGCAGAUGAACAGUCUGAAGACUGAAGAUUCUGCUGUUUAUUAUUGUGCUCGAGACUCACAGUGACUGGAGUUGGUUGAGCAGCUGUACAAAAUCCUACAGGACUCAUUGUUCAGGCUGGUAGAGCCCAAGCAUGAAGUCAUUUUCAUAGUAUUCAUAUUCUAUAUUUUACGUUA